GCUCAAUUUUGAAAUCUCUCAGGUUCCCUGAGCGAAUUGUAGUUUCUAGAAGCACUUUCGGGGGCGGUCCGGGUAAAAGUCCGUUGGAACGCGGCAUCAUGGAGGGUGAGAAUCCCGUACUUGAUCCGGUAUCCGCUCCUGUGUGAUGUGUUUUCAAAGAGUCGGAUAGUUUGGGAUUGCUGUCCAAAAUGGGUGGUAAAUACCAUCUAAAGCUAAAUAUUGGCGAGAGACCGAUAGCGAACAAGUACCGUGAGGGAAAGAUGAAAAGAACUUUGAAAAGAGAGUUAAACAGUACGUGAAAUUGUCAAAAGGGAAACGCUUGAAACCAGUAUUGCUGUGCGCAAAUCAGUCGCUCCUUAGGGCGGUGCACUUUGCGUAUGGCGGGUCAGCAUCAGUUUCGUUCGGAGUAAAAAGCCGCAGGAAGGUACCCCCUCGGGGUAUUAUAGCCUGCGGUCAUGCUUUGGACGGGACUGAGGUCUGCAGCCCUGCUUUUGGGAUGCUGGCAGCCCUCGGACGUGUUGCAACGGACAGCUUGCUGAUCGCUGUAACAACCAAGAGGCUCUGUCGGCUAACACAACUGGGCUUAGGAUGCUGACGAAAUGGUUUUAAACGACCCGUCUUGAAACACGGACCAAGGAGUCCAACAAUUAUGCGAGUGUNUGGGUGGCAAACCCGAGCGCGUAAUGAAAGUAAAUGCAGGAGCGAUCCGCAAGGAGCAGCUUCGACCGGUCUGGAUUUUUUUGAAAGAUCUGAGUAAGAGCAUAAUUGCUGGGNCCCGAAAGAUGGUGAACUAUGCCUGA
rnacentral:rRNA from 1 species